AUUAUUUACACUGGGCGUAUAUGUGGACAUUCACAAUGUACAGAACUAACACAGGUUUGCACAUUAAUUCUUGAGAAAUCCGCUGUCCCCCACAUCCAUUUCUACAGCCAUGACGUAGCGUCCGGCACGGCAGGCACCUGCAGUGGUGGGGAGGGGGCUCCGCGCAGCCCAGGUGGAGUGAAGAGGCUGCACUGGCAGGAGUGGGGGCACAAGAGCCCUGGCAGAGUGAAAGGGUUUCCUCCAGGCAGGGCGCCCAGCCACAGCGCAGCAGACCAGCGGGGAGAAGGGGUGUCUGCUGAGGGGAAGGGGGCGGGGGGGCAGGGGGGCAUCAGGAGGCUGGGUCCAGCUGUGGCCUUUCCAGGUUCCUCCACUGUGGACUCAUCCUCUCCUCCAAGACUGUGAGUCCCUCAUUUCUCAUCACACUGUCACCCACAAACUCAGCACCAACGGAUGAGCCUUGCUGUGAUUUUGCCAAAGUGUGAAGCUGGAAACUGUUUUGAAAACUGAAAUUGAUAACCCUAGAGACUUGUGUGCAGGCUUGCAGACUGCAGCCUAGGGAUGAUUCAGCCUGCACCUGCUCAGGUGAAUCAAGGCUCCACAGAACACGGGCCCCUCCCUGCAGGCGGCCCGGAGCUGACUUCACGCUUGGUCGCACAGCUGAGUCGAUGCAGCUGACACCAUACGCUCCACAAAUGCUGAAGCCACCAGUGGGCCUUUCACAGAGAGUCUGCCAGCCCGUCUUAGAGAAAGACUGCACUGGCAAAGCAGCUACAGAAUGUCUUCUGUGGAGCUAGAAGAGGAAUCUGUAUACAGUAUAAACCCGGUCAUCACCAUCAAAAAAGAUUAAAUAGAAGGGCUGAAAAAGAAAACUGAGACACUGUUACAGAAAGCAGAACAAAGGACUGAGAGACAGGUGGAAAAGAUAAGAAACUUCAGAGGAUCCACCCAGAAAGGAUGACAGUAGAUUAACAAAAGGAACGGAAAAAUAGGAUAGAGAAAAUGACUGACAUUUCUAACGCGCAGCUGAAGUGCACAAAUUCUUAGAUUAAAAUGACCCAUAAUGAAGGAUAAAGACCUACUUCAAAACACAUUAUCUUGAGAUUUCAAAACACCAGGCAUAAAUUCCAAGAGUUUCCAGAGA
rnacentral:lncRNA from 1 species